UAAAAGUUGUAAAGUAAAGAUAACCUUCAAUUAUCAACAAAUAACAAGUAAACUCAUCGCAUAUUUGUUAAUAAUAUUCAACGACAGCAACCAAACACCACACAAAGUAAUAAAACGACGUAGGCAAUCAUAUUCAACAUAAACCACCAAAAUGUUUGAUGCAGGAGACACCCUGGCGUUAAUCCUUGGAUUAUUCAUCAGCACAGUGGGCAUUCUAGCAUGUUUGGGUGUUUAUGCCAGGAGGCAAGUUCAACAAUUAGGUGGAUAAACAUAAAAUGCACAAAACUUUUAAAUUUUGCACCAAAACAAAGAUGUAACUUUCAAAAUAAGAAUCUCUAAACAACAA